rnacentral:rRNA from 1 species
AGUGAACGCUGGCGGCAGGCCUAACACAUGCAAGUCGAGCGGCAGCGCGGGGGCAACCCUGGCGGCGAGCGGCGGACGGGUGAGGAAUUCGUCGGAAUCUGCCUUUUUGUGGGGGAUAACGUAGGGAAACUUACGCUAAUACCGCAUACGUCCUACGGGAGAAAGUGGGGGACCGCAAGGCCUCACGCAGAAAGAUGAGCCGACGACCGAUUAGCUAGUUGGUGGGUAAAGGCCCACCAAGGCGACGAUCGGUAGCUGGUCUGAGAGGAUGAUCAGCCACACUGGGACUGAGACACGGCCCAGACUCCUACGGGAGGCAGCAGUGGGGAAUAUUGGACAAUGGGCGCAAGCCUGAUCCAGCCAUGCCGCGUGUGUGAAGAAGGCCUUCGGGUUGUAAAGCACUUUUGUCCGGAAAGAAAUCCCUGGAGCUAAUACCUUCGGGGGAUGACGGUACCGGAAGAAUAAGCACCGGCUAACUUCGUG